GCUACGGGAGGCAGCAGUAGGGAAUCUUCCACAAUGGGCGAAAGCCUGAUGGAGCAACGCCGCGUGGGUGAAGAAGGUCUUCGGAGCGUAAAACCCUGUUGGUAGAGAAGAAAGUGCGUGAGAGUAACUGUUCACGUGUCGACGGUAUCUAACCAGAAAGCCACGGCUAACUACGUGCCAGCAGCCGCGGUAAUACGUAGGGGGCAAGCGUUAUCCGGAUUUAUUGGGCGUAAAGGGAACGCAGCCGGUCUUUUAAGUCUGAUGUGAAAGCCUUCGGCUUAACCGGAGUAGUGCAUUGGAAACUUGGAGACUUGAGUGCAGCAGAGGAGAGUGGAACUCCGUUUGUCGCGGUGACAUGCGUAUAUAUCUGGAAGAACACCAGUGGCGAACGCGGCUCUCUGGUCUGUAACUGACGCUGAGGUUCGAAAGCGUGGGUAGCAAACAGGAUUAGCUACCCCAGUAGUC
rnacentral:rRNA from 1 species